rnacentral:rRNA from 1 species
CCUACGGGGGGCAGCAGUGAGGAAUAUUGGUCAAUGGACGAGAGUCUGAACCAGCCAAGUAGCGUGAAGGAUGACUGCCCUAUGGGUUGUAAACUUCUUUUAUAUGGGAAUAAAAUGUUCCACGUGUGGGAUUUUGUAUGUACCAUAUGAAUAAGGAUCGGCUAACUCCGUGCCAGCAGCCGCGGUAAUACGGAGGAUCCGAGCGUUAUCCGGAUUUAUUGGGUUUAAAGGGAGCGUAGGUGGAUUGUUAAGUCAGUUGUGAAAGUUUGCGGCUCAACCGUAAAAUUGCAGUUGAAACUGGCAGUCUUGAGUACAGUAGAGGUGGGCGGAAUUCGUGGUGUAGCGGUGAAAUGCUUAGAUAUCACGAAGAACUCCGAUUGCGAAGGCAGUUCACUGGACUGUAACUGACACUGAGGCUCGAAAGUGUGGGUAUCAAACAGGAUUAGAUACCCAAGUAGUC